rnacentral:rRNA from 1 species
UACGGAGGGUGCAAGCGUUAUCCGGAUUCACUGGGUUUAAAGGGUGCGUAGGCGGGCAGGUAAGUCCGUGGUGAAAUCUCUGAGCUUAACUCAGAAACUGCCAUGGAUACUAUUUGUCUUGAAUAUUGUGGAGGUGAGCGGAAUAUGUCAUGUAGCGGUGAAAUGCUUAGAUAUGACACAGAACACCGAUUGCGAAGGCAGCUUACUAAGUCGUAACUGACGCUGAUGCACGAAAGCGUGGGGAGCAAACAGG